rnacentral:rRNA from 1 species
UGCAGUCGACGGUGAAGGAGAGCUUGCUCUCUGGAUCAGUGGCGAACGGGUGAGUAACACGUGAGCAAUCUGCCCCUGACUCUGGGAUAACAGUUGGAAACAGCUGCUAAUACCGGAUAUGAGCUGCGACCGCAUGGUCGGCAGUUGGAAAGAAUUUCGGUCAGGGAUGAGCUCGCGGCCUAUCAGCUUGUUGGUGAGGUAAUGGCUCACCAAGGCGUCGACGGGUAGCCGGCCUGAGAGGGUGACCGGCCACACUGGGACUGAGACACGGCCCAGACUCCUACGGGAGGCAGCAGUGGGGAAUAUUGCACAAUGGGCGCAAGCCUGAUGCAGCAACGCCGCGUGAGGGACGACGGCCUUCGGGUUGUAAACCUCUUUUAGCAGGGAAGAAGCGAAAGUGACGGUACCUGCAGAAAAAGCACCGGCUAACUACGUGCCAGCAGCCGCGGUAAUACGUAGGGUGCAAGCGUUAUCCGGAAUUAUUGGGCGUAAAGAGCUCGUAGGCGGUUUGUCGCGUCUGCUGUGAAACCCCGAGGCUCAACCUCGGGCCUGCAGUGGGUACGGGCAGACUAGAGUGCGGUAGGGGAGAUUGGAAUUCCUGGUGUAGCGGUGGAAUGCGCAGAUAUCAGGAGGAACACCGAUGGCGAAGGCAGAUCUCUGGGCCGUAACUGACGCUGAGGAGCGAAAGGGUGGGGAGCAAACAGGCUUAGAUACCCUGGUAGUCCACCCCGUAAACGUUGGGAACUAGUUGUGGGGGCCAUUCCACGGUCUCCGUGACGCAGCUAACGCAUUAAGUUCCCCGCCUGGGGAGUACGGCCGCAAGGCUAAAACUCAAAGGAAUUGACGGGGACCCGCACAAGCGGCGGAGCAUGCGGAUUAAUUCGAUGCAACGCGAAGAACCUUACCAAGGCUUGACAUAUACGAGAACGGGCUAGAAAUAGUCAACUCUUUGGACACUCGUAAACAGGUGGUGCAUGGUUGUCGUCAGCUCGUGUCGUGA